rnacentral:misc_RNA from 1 species
GUUGGCAUCUCCCCUGAAAAGGUGAGAAGACCCUUGUACUAUUUCCAAUUAGGUUUCAUGAAAUUCACCAAUUGCAUAUUCUACAUGAUACAAUAGACGAGGUUGCACUAGUUUAUGUGGCUGUGUCAUCUUUGCAUCAGUUGUGAUGCAGCAUUGAUAGCUAAGGGGGAACCAAAUAGUUAAACAAAUUCUCCAAGGAAAGAGAAACAAAUUCUCAAUUUUAUU